rnacentral:sRNA from 1 species
UUUUUCUUUACUUCAGAGCCUCCCUGAAGAACGGGAAGCAAGUUUGUCUGGACCCGGAAGCUCCUUUUCUAAAGAAAGUCAUCCAGAAAAUUUUAGACAGUGGAAACAAGAAAAACUGAGUAACAAAAAGGACCAUGCAUCAUAAAAUUGCCCAGUCUUCAGCGGAGCAGUUUUCUGGAGAUCCCUGGACCCAGUGAGAAUAAGAAGGAAGGAGCCAUGCUGAAAGAUGGGAGGAAAAUGUACCUGGACCUAGAAGCUCCCAGAAUCAAGAAGAUAGUCCAGAAAAUGUUGGAAGGUGAUGGGUCAGCUGCUUAAUCUGUUCACUUUCUGCCAAACCUGUUUACCUCCCAGGAAGGGCAGGAUUUUAAAGCCUUGACUUUCUUGAAUUCUUGUUUUAUCCAAGAUACCUACUCUUACUGUAUUAAAAUUCGGGUAUGUUUCCAUUCUCUCUCAAAAAUCACAUUUUAUUCUGAGAAGGCUAGUUAAAAGAUGACAGAAAGAAGAUGAAAAUAAGCAAGCCUAGUUUAAACAUAGUAUAUGG